rnacentral:rRNA from 1 species
UUUCCGGUUGAUCCCGCCGGACCUGACUGCUAUCGGAUUGAUACUAAGCCAUGCUAGUCUUUGUAGUAAUACAAGGCAUACGGCUCAGUAACGCGUAGUCAACCUACCCUAUGGACGGGGAUAAUCUCGGGAAACUGAGCAUAAUACCCGGCAGACCACUUAUCCUGGAAUGGUUAGUGGUUAAAAUGAUUCGUCGCCAUAGGAUGGGACUGCGGCCUAUCAGCUUGUUGGUGAGGUAAUGGCCCACCAAGGCGAUUACAGGUACGGGCUCUGAGAGGAGAGGCCCGGAGAUGGGUACUGAGACAAGGACCCAGGCCCUAUGGGGCGCAGCAGGCGAGAAAACUUUGCAAUGUGCGAAAGCACGACAAGGUUAAUCCGAGUGAUUUCUGCUAAAGGAAUCUUUUGUUAGUUCUAAAAAUACUAGUGAAUAAGGGGUGGGCAAGUUCUGGUGUCAGCCGCCGCGGUAAAACCAGCACCUCAAGUGGUCAGGAGGAUUAUUGGGCCUAAAGCAUCCGUAGCCUGUUCUAUAAGUUUGCGGUUAAAUCUAUACGCUCAACGUAUAGGCUGCCGUAAAUACUGUAGAACUAGGGAGUGGGAGAGGUAGACGGUACUCGAUAGGAAGGGGUAAAAUCCUUUGAUCUAUUGAUGACCACCUGUGGCGAAGGCGGUCUACCAGAACACGUUCGACGGUGAGGGAUGAAAGCUGGGGGAGCAAACCGGAUUAGAUACCCGGGUAGUCCCAGCUGUAAACGAUGCAGACUCGGUGAUGCAAUGGCAUAGAGCUAUUGCAGUAUCGCAGGGAAGCCGUUAAGUUUGCCGCCUGGGAAGUACGUACGCAAGUAUGAAACUUAAAGGAAUUGGCGGGGGAGCACCACAAGGGGUGAAGCCUGCGGUUCAAUUGGAGUCAACGCCGGG